CCCUCAUCUCCUCCAGGAGCCCCAGCAGCCCAGCUUUGAAGAACACCUGGAGAGAGGGAGUGUUGCAGCAGGUCACUGACAGGCAGAGCAAAGCACAGGCACAGGAUCCUAUCUGUUCUUUAUCCUGUUCUACCGAAAAACAGGAAAAGAAGAUCUAAAGUCCUGCAAAUCCUUGAUUUCAAUGCACACAUGGGGAAGAAAAAAAUAAGAGGUGGAAGUGACCUUCCCGGACUCCCUGCUCUGGACUGUCCCUUUCACAAAGGAUUCCUUAGGAUGCACCACAAAGACAGAUGACUUGGCAUCAAAAGGCUUGUUCUGGGCUGCAAUUCUCUCCUUCUCUGACUUCCGGAGCUAACACCAGAGGAAGAGAUCUGGGCAGCAGAUUCUGGCUAAGGAGGUGACAUUUGGGAUGCCCUUCCAUCAACAGCCAAAGCAGCUGAUGGGCUCCUGUUACAGACCAGUGACCUUCCCGGACUCCCUGCUCUGGACUGUCCCUUUCACAAAGGAUUCCUUAGGAUGCACCACAAAGACAGAUGACUUGGCAUCAAAAGGCUUGUUCUGGGCUGCAAUUCUCUCCUUCUCUGACUUCCGGAGGUAGAAUGCAGAAUCCUGCACUAUUUCCUGCUGUGCUCCUCUUGGACUGGUUCUACUGCUGCCAUAGCAAAGAUGGGAAGCCAGCAUGUCUUGGAUCCAGUUAGGGCAGUGCUCCACUGGGCCCAGAGGCAACCCACAGCACAGUUAAAGAGAAGAGGUGGACUGAAAGCCAUCUCUGGAUACAGCCUCUCCUGCACAGCAAUGCCAGUCGGUACAGCACACAUUCCCCACCGAGAACAUUCAGUCAUGCUGAAAACAGAUCCUUCUUGAGACAGAGAUCAGGCAGCUGCCUGCCUUGGUGUGUAUUUUCUCCUCCUGAUCCCUGUGGUUAGCUGAGAGACAAGGAGUGAGCAGGCAUUUCUUAGAUAGGUAGCACAGCCUGGGGGAGAGGACAACGGGGAGUGGGAACCUCCCUCUCCUGCAUGUUCUGGGUCCUCAAGCUUCUGAGCUGGAAACAGGAGAAUGUACCUGUAUGAAAGGAGGUUCUGCAGUAGGAAAAGGAAUCCUUUCCUGUGUUCUGGUGAUCCCUAAUCUCUCACCCUGAGAAUUACUCUCAGGCCUUCUGCUAUCCUAGCUAGAACAGGCUGCCCUCCAAGAGGAAUGACUUUGGGGGUGUGGUUGAUAUGAAUACAAGUGCUCUCACUGCAAACAGGACAAAUCAAGUGUCAUGUGGUGUUAGAAAUGUGGUCAGCUCAUUGUAUCAUAGAAUCAUAGAAUCCUAGGGGUUGGAAGGGACCUCAAAAGAUCAUCUAGUCCAACCCCCUUGCCAGAGCAGGGUCACCCAGAGCACAUCACACAGGAAUGCGUCCAGGCGGGUUUUGAAUGUCUCCAGUGAAGAAGACUCCACAACCUCUCUGGGCAGCCUGUAGGAAGCCGUGAUUCCUUUUGCUUGACACUAGUGAGUCCUCAUCUGAAAUGGUUUGUCCAGCUUUUGGCUCCCCUGUUCAAUGGCCUGGAGUGCAGGCUCAGAUGCCUACACAGAGAGCAAUGUCUUCUGUGCCUGGGGACAAGUCACUCCAGCUGCUCCUCCUCAGGUGAUCAGGGUCCCUGAUGCUCUCACCAGAAAGGGAGGUGCUCAGGUCCCUGGAGGGACCAGGAAUGUCUGCAUGGAUGUGCUGCUACUCCGGGCACUCCUCAGAGGUAAGGUGAAAUGAAGCCAAAAGCCUGCAGGUGGUAGGUUAUUAUUGCUGACUAUGCCCUGCUUCAACCUCAUCAGUAUCCUGGGUGACUGAUCUCCAGACCCUCAUAAAACACUAUAAAUACCCACAGCAUAUAAUGUACACACAUCUGCCUGGUGGUGAUAUGCACAUUAGUGCUUGAUGUGUCUCUAAACACUGUGUCACACGGGUGACAGACUUAGUGACAAGCAGCUUUUCUUGGACAUGCUUCUGAAUUAGGUUCCUCUCAAUUAUAACAACCAAAAAUGACCUGGCGUUGAGAAAUUAAAAUAUUUUUGUCCAUCUCCUGCAACUGUUGCUUAUCUUCAAGAGGAAUUAGCAUACAUUCCCUCAAAAUCUCCAGAGGAACAACCUCCUGCGUAGUCAUUGGUGCAAAAGCAACUGGUUGCACCGUGAAGUCAUUCAGAACAAACACGUUUUGCUUUGGGUUUUUUGUAUGACAAAAGUCCCCCAGAGGCUAUAGCACUCGGACUCUUCCUCAUGAAAGACAGUCUGAUGCUGUUUCAAGUGAUCUUCACCCUUGCAUUGCUCCCUGUUAUCUGAAAAACAGCACCUGAGGAAAGGGGGGGUUUAGCAAUUUUGAUGCCAGGCAUCCGGACAAGCCUGUUCCUGCAGAGGGAGUUGGAAGUGGCUGAGCUUGAACAGGGAUGUACAGGAAGAUCACUGACUUCCCAGCCUGGCAGCUGCUGGGAUAGACAGGGAAAAGCUGUGGCUGUGGUUUCUGGGAGCAGCUGUUUAGCACUACCCACUGCUCCAACAUGCCAUCCCCCCGUGGUUAUCAGGCUUUGCAGAGGUCUGGUGUAGGCAGAGCCAUUCUGCUCUGAUCAUGAUGUGGUUGUUGUCCCCUGCUUCUGAACACUCCUGACUACAGGAGACUAUUUUAAACAGCAGAGUUUUAGUUUAGUCCCUUCCUUCCCCUCCCCACAUCUUCAGAGAAUUUUACUCCCAAAUAAUUUGCGUUUCCAGCUGCUGUACAAAACUGAACCUCAGCCCAUGAGAGGAUAUGAAACAGCAGCUGUGCAUUCAUCUCCUGGCUAAAAAACAGGAGGAUCUGUAAGGUAAGAAAGCCAGAGCAUAAAAAAGCAUCAUGCAGAGAUAGUCUUGUAAAUUUGAGAAUAAGCAGAGAGCCAUAUCAGCCUAGAGCAAAGGCCUUGCUGGUAUCUUGUGCAUAAGUGUAUGUUGGAUACUUGGGGAAAAUCCAAUUUAAUUUUUUCAAUGGUACUUGUAAUAUCAUGUAAGCAUUUCAUCUUCCCACCUAGUUGUUCCCUUCCUAAAGUGAAAGAUCAUAGCCUGGACACCUUGUCUCUCCAGUGCUCCCAUAAAUCUCAUCAUCUUUCUUUGUAUCCUCCCUAAUUUCAUAGGCCAAAAUAGAAUCACAGACUCACCAAGGCUGGAAAAGACCUGCAGAUAGCAGGUGGUUUGUGGGCCUGCUACAGUGAUUUCUUGUUUGUUCUCAGUAGAUCCUGGUAAUUCCUGGUGCUCUGUGUGCCUUUUAUGGCCACCAGUGAGCACUGACUUGACGUUUGGAGGCAACUAUUCGCUAUUCUUUUGUAUUUCCUGUCUCCUAAUCCUGGUCCUCCUUUCAGAGACUGUAGGGUUUGGUCUGUGUGUGGCUCAGUCACCAUAUGGACAGAGAAGUUGAUGUUCUGUUUCAUCUGCACAAAGGGUUUUCACACUGAUGAUUUUACUGUCAGCCUUACAAGGACACCAACUUUCAUAGUGGCCUUCACCAAAAUGACAGUGAGGACUGAAGGGUGGCACAGCCCAGCCAGCAGAGCAGGGGAACAACAUGUGAGGCAGCAAACUUUUAUUUGGAGGUGAGCAGCUUUUCACUGAGUGUCAGAGUUGUGCUGUUUACUCAGACUCCUCAUGUUCCCAGGAAACAUCAGCAGAAGAGCUGGCUGAGGAGGUGACAUUCAGGAUGCCCUUUCUAUCACCCACCAAAGCAGCUGAGGGGCUCCUGUUACGGAGCAGGGGAGGAGGGUGGGCAGGCUAAGACAAAGAAAAAAGAGAGCAAGUGGCAAAAGGGGGGAGGGAAAGAGAGGGAAGGAAAAUCAGGAUUAGGUGCAUAAUUUUAGCACUAGCAACAACUGUAUCCUAAAAAAGAGAGCAGUGAGGUGAUAUCUUCCUAGGCUGACACUCAUCUGUGACAGUUGCACAAAUCCCACUUCUGGGCACAUUUCAGUGCUGUAAAUGGAAAUACACUGGUAUGGAAUUUGUAUAAACCUCUUCACUUUAAACAUUAGACUUUUCAAGGUUAAUACUGGGUUAGCAUGGGAUUUUCUGAGUACCAGAGUACCUACGGGAUACAUAGCAGAAUGUUCUAGUGGCAUUUUUGAACUAACUUUUUGUGUUGCAGAGAAGUUCCUUUUGCAUCCUCAGGAAAUUUGUCAACAGCCUCAUUAUUUUCUGUUGGGAGACAGAUUUUCUUAGUGGUCAGCCUAAACAUUUCCCUAAUUGCUCUUUGCAUCCGUUUGAGAUGCUGAGGGAAAGACACACAUCCCUGCUCCCUCUGAAGAGUAAAUCAGUUGUGUAAAGCAGCUGGAGACAAUGACAGCAACCAGAUAACCAGCAGCCAGAGUGUUUUACAUCUCAGUCAGGACUGUGGACUGAAAAAUACAUGCUAAUUCUUCUGCACACAAAAUGCAGCACCAACUUCACUGCAUCACUGCUUUGCUGAGCAACACAGCUCUGCGUUGCCUUCCUUCCAGACCAGUCCCUCAGGUCCCUCAAAGUGUCUGCUUCUCCCUGAGAGGGCCUCCAGGUGGGCACAAUCUUGCAGGUGCCUUGUGGGGUCCCACAGCAUCAUCCCAUAGUCCCACACUGCUGCCUGCCCCAUGUCAGCUGAGCGUGGACGUUACCUCUGGGCUGUGAUCCCUGGCCAUCCAUAGGGGACAGCAGCUCUAUAUGAGCCCAUCAGCUGCAUCUAUUUUAAACUUUCUCUCCGAGAUGUUCAUUUAUGGCCACUAUGGACUGCUGCUUUUCUUAAGACCUUUGCAGAAGCCCUUAUCAGGUGACAGGCAGCCUCACUCCACAGGCUGAGUGCCAGUGCAAAAUGACCCUCAUUCUCCGUACAGCAGCGAGUAAUUCGUCUUCUUCAUAUCAAUGUCUCACUUUGAUCCUGAUAAUCCAGCAGGCUUUAUAGGAGUGGCUUUCAGUGGGGAUUUAGCUUCUGCUUCCAUCUCCUCCUCCAAUUCCAGGUUGGUGUUUGUUUUUUUUCUUGGAAGAUUUCUUCCAAAACAUAUGCAUGGGUGGCAGGCACGGGCUGGGCUCACACAGAGUGACAAACUAGGUCCCUGUAGGGUGGGCCACAGCAGCAGCUCAAAACUUGGGCCACUUUGCACCAUCCCCAUCCACUUCCAGAGACAGCAGCUCCUGAGGCUGGAGGAUCCCAAUACAGGCUGCCAUCCCUGCCUGGGGACCAGGCUGGGCCAGAAAGGGCUAACUGUGUUUGGGGGCUUUCAGAUUCCAGCUGGGGACUGACAGUAGUCCCAGCCCUCUGGGAAAGUAUGGGUUUUCACUGCCUCCUGCCAACACAGGUUGUGCUCCUGAGUUUGGGAAAUGCUGCCUGAAGAUGCUCCCUCUGAGGUGCAGCCAGUUCCUCUCAGCACAGAGCCUGGGCAUGAGCAAUAGCCAUGUGCCAUGUCCAGGAGUAAAGAAACAACACCCUGCUUUACUUUACACUUGAAAUAUAAGAAAUUAUUACAUUAUUCAAUACAGUAAAUUAUCAAAUUAUUAAAUACAGUAAUUUCUUCAAAACUAAAGCUCGACAAAGCUGUCUCAAGGUGGGCUAUGAGUUAGACUGUCAUUUGCAGAUUAUCAUGAGUCACCAUCCCUGGAGGUAUUUAAAACAUGUGUAGAUGUGGUGCUGAGGGACAUGGUUUAGUGAUAGAUUUGGCAGUGCUAUGUUUACUUGAUGAUCCUAAAGGUCUUUUCCAACAAAAAAAAAUAAAAAUCCUGUGAUCAUUGUAGAGUUUCCCAGAA